CCAAUAGCGUAUAUUAAAGUUGUUGCAGUUAAAAAGCUCGUAGUUGAAUUUCGGGACCAAUAUGUCGGUCGUACUUUGUACGUACUAGCAUUAUUGGUUUCUCCCUUCUGAAGAACCACGAUGUCAUUAAUUUGGUGUCGUGGGGAAUCAGGACUGUUACUUUGAAAAAAUUAGAGUGUUUAAAGCAGGCUCGCGCUUGAAUACAUUAGCAUGGAAUAAU
rnacentral:rRNA from 1 species